CAGUCGCCGCGGUAAUACGGAGGGGGCUAGCGUUGUUCGGAAUUACUGGGCGUAAAGCGCACGUAGGCGGCUUUGUAAGUUAGAGGUGAAAGCCCGGAGCUCAACUCCGGAAUUGCCUUUAAGACUGCCGAGCUAGUAGGUGAGAGAGGUAAGUGGAAUUCCGAGUGUAGAGGUGAAAUUCGUAGAUAUUCGGGAGAACACCAGUGGCGAAGGCGGCUUACUGGCUCAUUCUAGACGCUGAGGUGCGAAAGCGUGGGGAGCAAACAGGAUUAGAUACCCCCGUAGUCCCUGUCUCUUAUAC
rnacentral:rRNA from 1 species